AUUGAACGCUGGCGGCAGGCCUAACACAUGCAAGUCGAGCGAGCGACGGACGGUUGAGUAAUGGCUGGGAAACUGACUGAUGGAGGGGGAUCACUGCGGGAAACGGUAGCGAAUACCGUCUUACAUCAGAUGUGCACAGAUGGGAUUAGCUAGUAGGUGGGGUAACGGCUCACCUGGGCGACGAUCCCUAGCUGGUCUGAGAGGAUGACCAGCCACACUGGAACUGAGACACGGUCCAGACUCCUACGGGAGGCAGCAGUGGGGAAUAUUGCACAAUGGGCGCAAGCCUGAUGCAGCCAUGCCGCGUGUGUGAAGAAGGCCUUCGGGUUGUAAAGCUCUUUCAGCGGGGAGGCGUUACCCGCAGAGGAAGCACCGGCUAACUACGUGCCAGCAGCCGCGGUAAUAC
rnacentral:rRNA from 1 species